GACGAACGCUGGCGGCGUGCUUAACACAUGCCAGUCGAACGGAAAGGCCCUGCUUUUGUGGGGUGCUCGAGUGGCGAACGGGUGAGUAACACGUGAGUAACCUGCCCUUGACUUUGGGAUAACUUCAGGAAACUGGGGCUAAUACCGGAUAGGAGCUCCUGCUGCAUGGUGGUGGUUGGAAAGUUUCGGCGGUUGUGGAUGGACUCGCGGCUUAUCAGCUUGUUGGUGGGGUAGUGGCUUACCAAGGCUUUGACGGGUAGCCGGCCUGAGAGGGUGACCGGCGACAUGGGGACUGAGAGACGGCCCAGACGCGUACGGGAGGCAGCAGUGGGGAAUAUUGCACAACGGGCGGAAGCCUGAUGCAGAAACGCCGCGUGCGUGAUGACGUGCUUCGGGUUGUAAACAGCUUUCGCCUGUGACGAAGCGUGAGUGACGGUAAUGGGUAAAGAAGCACCGGCUAACUACGUG
rnacentral:rRNA from 1 species